rnacentral:rRNA from 1 species
AUUGAACGCUGGCGGCAUGCCUUACACAUGCAAGUCGAACGGCAGCACGGGAGCAAUCCUGGUGGCGAGUGGCGAACGGGUGAGUAAUACAUCGGAACGUGCCCAGUAGUGGGGGAUAGCCCGGCGAAAGCCGGAUUAAUACCGCAUACGACCUAUGGGUGAAAGCGGGGGAUCGCAAGACCUCGCGCUAUUGGAGCGGCCGAUGGCAGAUUAGCUUGUUGGUGGGGUAAAAGCCUACCAAGGCGACGAUCUGUAGCUGGUCUGAGAGGACGACCAGCCACACUGGGACUGAGACACGGCCCAGACUCCUACGGGAGGCAGCAGUGGGGAAUUUUGGACAGUGGGCGCAAGCCUGAUCCAGCCAUGCCGCGUGCGGGAAGAAGGCCUUCGGGUUGUAAACCGCUUUUGUCAGGGAAGAAACGGUCCAAUCUAAUAAAUUGGACUAAUGACGGUACCUGAAGAAUAAGCACCGGCUAACUACGUGCCAGCCGCCGCCGUAA